rnacentral:lncRNA from 1 species
UGGUUUAAGUCUUUGCGUUAAGGCAUAUGCCAGAAGUUUAACAUCAUAAUUCAAAAGUGUUAUAGGUCGAUAAUUAUCAAGGGACAAUGGGUCAUUUUUUUUAUAAAUGAGUGAUAUAACGCCUAUUUUUUGUGUGUUGGACAAUUGUCCUUUAGUAUAGCAAUAGUUAAAUGUUGAUACAAUUAAAGUUUUUAAUUCUACCAAAAACUUUCUGUAAAAUUCAACAUUUAGUCCAUCUAAUCCUGGGGCACGGUUUAGUUUCAUUUUAAAUAUGGCUUCUGUGCAUUCUUCUUCAGUUAUUUCUCCUUCGCAAGCAUCACUUUCACUUUCACUUAAUUUUUUAUGUUUU